rnacentral:rRNA from 1 species
UACGUAGGGUGCAAGCGUUAAUCGGAAUUACUGGGCGUAAAGCGUGCGCAGGCGGUUGGGCAAGUCAGAUGUGAAAUCCCCGGGCUCAACCUGGGAACUGCAUUUGUGACUGCACGGCUGGAGUGCGGCAGAGGGGGAUGGAAUUCCGCGUGUAGCAGUGAAAUGCGUAGAUAUGCGGAGGAACACCGAUGGCGAAGGCAAUCCCCUGGGCCUGCACUGACGCUCAUGCACGAAAGCGUGGGGAGCAAACAGG